UACGUAGGGGGCUAGCGUUGUCCGGAUUUAUUGGGCGUAAAGAGCGUGUAGGCGGCCAUGUAUGUCCGGUGUGAAAACUCGAGGCUUAACCUCGAGAUGUCAUCGGAAACCAUUUGGCUAGAGUCCGGAAGAGGAGAGUGGAAUUCCUGGUGUAGCGGUGAAAUGCGCAGAUAUCAGGAAGAACACCAAUGGCGAAAGCAGCUCGCUGGGACGGUACUGACGCUGAGACGCGAAAGCGUGGGGAGCGAACAGG
rnacentral:rRNA from 1 species